UACGUAGGGUGCGAGCGUUGUCCGGAAUUAUUGGGCGUAAAGGGCUCGUAGGCGGUUUGUCGCGUCGGGAGUGAAAACACCGGGCUUAACUCGGUGCUUGCUUUCGAUACGGGCAGACUAGAGGCAUGCAGGGGAGAACGGAAUUCCUGGUGUAGCGGUGAAAUGCGCAGAUAUCAGGAGGAACACCGGUGGCGAAGGCGGUUCUCUGGGCAGUAACUGACGCUGAGGAGCGAAAGCCAGGGGAGCGAACGGG
rnacentral:rRNA from 1 species